rnacentral:misc_RNA from 1 species
UCUCUCUCUCUCUCUCUCUGUGUACCCCUGGAAGCUCCACUGCGUCUUUCUUCGAUGCACACACAUGUAGAGCGUGUGUUUGGAUUUGGCUUUUUAGAUCUCUACCUCAUUUUGUGGAUCUGCAGCCCCACAUACGCGCAUUGCCCUUCUUUUCUCUCUCCUAGGGUUUGCGGCUUUACCCACUCCUGCUACUCUCUUUCGCUGUUUUACUCUUAGCUAUGCAAUCUCUCAAUGUGACUCCAAAAUGCCAUGGAGUGGCUAGCCGGAACUUUAGCAACUUUUGGUGCAUCUCUGAUCAGGCUGCUGUUCUGCUUCGAGGUCGUCUUGGUUUCUGACAAUGGUCUUUGUGGAUUCUGGUUUGGCUUGAGAGAUGAUGCCAUUCUUCACACUGCUGCUCCUCCUUGGCUUGCUUACCUUCGAUUUUACUUGUUUAGGUAUCACUUUAAUUUCCUGCAUUUCUAGGAAACAAGUGCUUUGAAGCUUUUUCCGAGGUUAAUCUUAGACUGUUAUCUUGAUGCAAUUGCUAUUUAGCUUAUUGUGUCUUUUGCCUAAGCAUCUGCUGAUUCUGCGCCUGCAAAAAACUUAGAUUGGAGUUAUUACGCAAUAAGUUAGUUGCGCAAUUUUGUUUUGUCAUUCAACUAUCUUCAAUUGAAGGAAUGCCCUUGAAAUUCCUACUUAUACCCACCAUUGAUUGCUUGUUUGCCCCCAUUGUGAGUUGUGGAGGAUUGUCUUAGCAAUCUUGGGAAGACAUGGUAGAGCAAUCUAUUAAUUGCGCAUUCAUAUUUCUGCUUAUUCAGAUUAAAAUGAUUUUGCUGAUUUUAAAUGAUGAGUUAACUUGAUACAUACAGAGGUGGAACAUAAUAUAAAACACGUAAGAAAAGGCACAAUGGGUAAUGUUAAAUUGUUAAUUGCCCCUGAACUGAAGGAAACUAACAAAUUGAUGGCUUAAAUUUGGAAUUAGAUGAGGUAGGCAGUAGGCUCGUCUUUUUACACUUUAAGUUAAUAAAUGUAUUAGUCCUUCCAAUGAGCAACUAGCACCAUCUGUUUCACAUGGCCAAUGUGUAUCGGGUAGCUGUUAUGAUUUUGUAGGAUAAGUCAGUAGCUGUAAUGAGUUCCCAUAUUUCUAUGUCAAAGUUUUAAUUACAACUGGUUUUGUCUAAGCUUGGACUUUUGUCCAAAAUACUAUGCACCUUGAAUGUAAAUUAGACGAAUGGUGAUCAGGUAUUACUUGGAGAAAACAUUUCAGCUGCUUGAGCAGUUUUGCUCCAAACGGGGAAAAAGUUCUAUUUUUGUAGGAUUUCAGUAGAAAAUGAAAUUGUGGAAAAAAAUGAAAUUGCAGCUGCCAAUUACAUUCUUAAAGUACACUAAUGAUAUCACUUGUAUUUUUGUUUUAAUUUUUGUAUUUUUCCCCAAUUCGAUAAAUAAUCGAAACUGAUUUCCUCUACUAACUUUUUGAAGUUUCUUAUUUUGCAUUCGUCAUAUGCAUAUCUAUGCAUGACUAGAUAAGUUCAUGAUGCUGUACAUAUCAUUACCUCUAUCAUUUUUCAUAUAUGAUGCCGUGAAAUUUUCAUCACAAGGUUCAUGUGCUUCAUUGGGAAAAACUGACAGUUUAGUUCACAUUUUUUAGGGCAUCCGCUACUGCAUAUACACUUGUCUCCUUCUUCUCAGCCAAAUUGGCAAUUAUCUGUGAAGGAAAAUUUGGUGGAACAUGCAAGGUUGGUUUCAAUAAGUGUGCCAUUUGGUAAAUCACAGCCACCUCCAAUGCACAUGGUUAAGCCUUCUCUUGCACCUGCACUUUCUCCAGUUUAUCAGGCAUCUGCUUUUGGUCCCAGCAAUGCUCCCUUGCCAAGACACCAUCGUCUCCAUCGUCAUCAUCAUCACCGUGUGAAACCUGUUGUGGUUGCUUCCUCCCCUUCCGAAGACCAAAGUUGUGGUCAAGUUUGCAGUGAGCCACUUACGGCAGCUCCCUUUGGCUCACCCUGUGCUUGUGUUUUUCCUAUGAAAGUCAGACUUCUUUUAGGCAUGGCUCCUUAUGCUAUUUUUCCUGUAAUGAAUCAGCUAGAAAUUGAAGUUGCAGCAGGCACAUAUUUGAAGCAAAGUCAAGUGAAAAUAAUGGGGGCCAGUGCUGAUAGUCAAAAUCAGGGAAAAACUGUUGUGGAUAUUAACUUGGUUCCAUUGGGAGAUAAGUUUGAUAAUACUACUGCAAUACUGACAUACGAUAGAUUUUGGCAUAAGAAGGUACCUCUAAAUAACACUCUUUUUGGUGAUUAUGAAGUUAUAUCAAUUAGCUAUCCAGGUAAUAACCUCAUUUAUCCCUGAAGUCUUUACUGCUUUACCAUUGUAUUACUGUGCAAUGGUCAUGACUAGAGAGUAUGCACCAGGGAUUCCUUCUUCACCACCAUACUCAGAUUACAUGGGGAGUGGUCCUAGUGGAACUGCUGGAGAUCUUCCCAUCACUGCACAUUUUGUGAGCAAGAGCCAGAAGAUGAAUGCUAGAACCAUCGCAAUCGUUGCUUUAUCCGCAUUUGUGGUCUUACUGGUUUUCAUUGGGGCUGUCUUCAUUUUCCUAAGAUGGAGAAAGUUUGGAAGACCAUCAAGUGCAGUUGGUCCUACAAUUGCAUCAUCCAUAAACAAAAGAUCUGGUAUGUCAAUUUUUAUGUUCUUAUAUAGUAUUUUGCAUGUACAUGUUAUGGAGGAGUGCCAUGCAAUGUUUUUGCUCCUCAUGGCAGCCUUUUUAUGUAUAUCCUUUUAGGACCAAAGUACUUCCUGCUAAUUUGUUUGGCUCAAUCAUCCACAAUAGAAAUUUUUUUCUGAACAUCUUUUUUAUCAUCACUAAUAUGAACUUGAAUUUAGUGAAUUAAUGUCAGAAGGUUGCUUUAACACCUAUUAGGCCAGUGGUAUAAGAUAAUAAUAAUUAUUAGAUUGCUUCCAUCUCUUGAUUUGUUCACAUUGAUAGCUUUUUUUGUUUUGUUUUGUUGAGCAUUGGAGCUUCUUUUGUAGUCUCUAAUAAAGAAAGCAGUUGGGAAAGUUUACAGAAACAUGUGGUACCGUAAUCUUUAUUUCACAGAGGACCCUUUUGGAAUGGUACACAAUAUUAUUUCUAGUAGUCGUGCUUUGUUGGGUUUAGUUUGUAUGAUAUAGGGAGCUUUAUGCUGGUCGAUUGAUGAUGUUCUCUAGACAAGUAUAAUCAAAUGAAACAAAUCAUAUGCCAAGUUUGUUAUAUUUUAGAUCUUCACUUGUUAAUGCAGGCAUUGGGUCUCUCAUGUCGACUAGUAUUGCAAGCUCAACAUCAAUGUCCCUUGUGUCAACCAUGGCUACUUGCAUGCUUUCUGUUAAAACAUUUCCAUACACUGAGCUUGAGAAAGCAACUGAGAAGUUCAGUUCGAAGAGGAUU